rnacentral:rRNA from 1 species
CUACGGGUGGCUGCAGGCGCGAAACCUUUACAAUGCACGAAAGUGUGAUAAGGGAACCCCAAGUGCUUAUACUUUGUAUAGGCUUUUGCCAAGUGUAAAUAGCUUGGAGAAUAAGUGGUGGGUAAGACUGGUGCCAGCAGCCGCGGUAACACCAGCGCCACGAGUGGGAAUCGGCAUUAUUGGGCCUAAAGCGUCCGUAGCUGGCUUGGCAAAUCUUUUGUGAAAUCAUGGAGCUUAACUCUAUGGCGUGCAGGAGACACUACCAAGCUCGAGACCGGGAGGAGUUAGAUGUAUUCUGGGGGGAGCGGUAAAAUGUUAUAAUCCUCAGAAGACGACCUGUGGCGAAGGCGUCUAACUAGAACGGCUCUGACAGUGAGGGACGAAAGCUAGGGGAGCGAUCCGGAUUAGAUACCCUUGUAGUC